rnacentral:rRNA from 1 species
UACGAAGGGGGCUAGCGUUGCUCGGAAUCACUGGGCGUAAAGGGUGCGUAGGCGGGUUUUAAGUCAGGGGUGAAAUCCUGGAGCUCAACUCCAGAACUGCCUUCGAUACUGGCGAUCUCGAGUUCGGGAGAGGUGAGUGGAACUGCGAGUGUAGAGGUGAAAUUCGUAGAUAUUCGCAAGAACACCAGUGGCGAAGGCGGCUCACUGGCCCGAUACUGACGCUGAGGUGCGAAAGCGUGGGGAGCAAACAGG